GUAAGAGACAUGUAUCCACUUUGCAGUCAAAUUUCAAAACACAACGUUAAAUUUAGUACAGAUGGAAAAUUUUCUAGGCCCUCUACUCUAACUAAAGAAAUACCACAACAUAGAUUCAAAUCCAAUGAGGUAUAAUGUAAUAACUAACUAACUAACUAGAUAGACUAUAAACUAACUCAACCACGUGAACCCUUUGUCCCUCUGACGGCAGAUGAUCUAUGUUGAAGGUUAGCAAACCAGAUUGGGGAUCGUGAUUGAAAUCAACCUCGUUGUUUUGCAGCAGACACCUAGUUGGUCUUGCCGACGAAUAAGCCCCGAACUUCCCACACCCUUUCAUCUCCACACGAACCAACGACUGGUUAUCCCCCACUUCAUACACCAGCCCUUCAACGGCACCACCACCAUUGAACAUGUUCAAAAGUCCAAUAGGGGAAAAGCUGUAACCAGGACCCAAAACCUUCACAGGCGCAACAGCAAACACCUCGUGUUCCAACACCUUAAGGGACACCGGCAGAGCCACAUUGCGUGGAAGCACCGUGAGCUGCCCAGAUUGGUGACCGUACAACGCGCAAUCACCGUUCCAAUCGCCAUCACCGGCAGCCUCCGCAAUCAGAUGCACAUCACCACCUCUCACAAACCCAGUGAUGGCAGCAGAAACCGUGUCAUGAAACGCAUUCUUCCUCUCAGCGGCACUCCACGCAGCCCCUUGGCAGUUAUAAACUCCCAACACCCCUCCGAACUUGUUCAUGUUCCAUAUUUUCAGUAAACUAACUCCGUCACGGGCCGGGUCACUGAACAAGCAGUCUUUAGUGGGCCUCCCGGGAAGACGGGCCCGAAGCACCGACCCAUCUGGCAGAACCAUCUUCUUAAGCAGAUCAAAAUCAUGCUUCCCCGGCGCGUCGCUCACAUAGAGCGGCCCACCGCUGAUGGCCCUA
rnacentral:lncRNA from 1 species